rnacentral:pre_miRNA from 1 species
UAAAUACUCCCUCUGUCCGGAAAUACUUGUCAUCAAAAUGGAUAAAAGGAAAUGUAUCUAGACGUAUUUUAGUUUUAGAUACAUCUAUUUUUAUCCAUUUUGAUGACAAGUAUUUUCGGACGGAGGGAGUAGAAA